ensembl:miRNA gga-mir-1732-1 gga-mir-1732-2
GCCAGGAGCAGAUGUGUACACCGCAGUCCGACAGCAGCGCUCGCGUCUGCCUGUGCGCACCGUGCUGCUGUCGGGCUGCCCUGUUCUGUGUACAUACCGGC